CCUACGGGAGGCAGCAGUUGGGGAUCUUGCGCAAUGGGCGAAAGCCUGACGCAGCGACGCCGCGUGAGUGAUGAAGGUCUUCGGAUUGUAAGACUCUGUCAGGGGGGACGAGAGAGGACGGUACCCCCUGAGGAAGCCUCGGCUAACUACGUGCCAGCAGCCGCGGUAAGACGUAGGGGGCAAGCGUUGUCCGGAAUUACUGGGCGUAAAGAGCUCGUAGGUGGGAUUAUAAGUCAACGAGUAAAUGCUUCGGCUAAACUGGAGUUUCAUCGUUGAUACUGUAAUUCUUGAGGACAGGAGAGGAAAGCGGAAUUCCCGGUGUAGGGGUGAAAUGCGUAGAGAUCGGGAGGAACGCCGGUGGCGAAGGCGGCUUUCUGGCCUGAUGCUGACACUGAGGAGCGAAAGCCAGGGUAGCGAACGGGAUUAGAUCCCCGGGAAGU
rnacentral:rRNA from 1 species